rnacentral:rRNA from 1 species
GUAUGGCGACCGGCGCACGGGUGAGUAACACGUAUCCAACCUGCCGAUGACUCGGGGAUAGCCUUUCGAAAGAAAGAUUAAUACCCGAUGGCAUAGUUCUUCCGCAUGGUAGAACUAUUAAAGAAUUUCGGUCAUCGAUGGGGAUGCGUUCCAUUAGGUUGUUGGCGGGGUAACGGCCCACCAAGCCUUCGAUGGAUAGGGGUUCUGAGAGGAAGGUCCCCCACAUUGGAACUGAGACACGGUCCAAACUCCUACGGGAGGCAGCAUG